rnacentral:ribozyme from 1 species
GAUAUUAUUGUUAUUGCAAUGGGAUGGGAUCCGAAGCCCCUCGAGGGAUGAUACAGGCUCUCCCAUCCAACAUCCUACUCCGACACGUCCUCAUCGUGCAGAGUGGUAACGUGUGCCACCACAUAUCCAAGCUUGGGUACACGGGCUUGACCCAACCCCUUGGGCUGAUGGUGGCACAUGGUGAACCAAGAGCGGU